rnacentral:rRNA from 1 species
UACAGAGGGGGCAAGCGUUGUUCGGAAUUACUGGGCGUAAAGGGCGCGUAGGCGGCCAACUAAGUCGGACGUGAAAUCCCCGGGCUCAACCCGGGAACUGCGUCCGAUACUGGAUGGCUUGAAUCCGGGAGAGGGAUGUGGAAUUCCAGGUGUAGCGGUGAAAUGCGUAGAUAUCUGGAGGAACACCGGUGGCGAAGGCGGCAUCCUGGACCAACACUGACACUGAGGAGCGAAAGCCAGGGGAGCAAACGGG